rnacentral:rRNA from 1 species
UACAGAGGGUGCGAGCGUUGUCCGGAAUCACUGGGCGUAAAGGGCGCGUAGGCGGCGCGGGGAGUCAACGGUGAAAGCUCGGCGCUCAACGCCGAGUCGGCCGUCGAUACUCCCGUGCUCGAGCACUGUAGAGGCAGGUGGAAUUCCGGGUGUAGCGGUGGAAUGCGUAGAGAUCCGGAAGAACACCGGUGGCGAAGGCGGCUUGCUGGGCAGUAGCUGACGCUGAGGCGCGACAGCGUGGGGAGCAAACAGG